rnacentral:lncRNA from 1 species
CAGUGUGUCUGUGUGUGUUUGUGUCUGUGUGUGUGUGCGCGCGUGCGCGCGUGUGUGUGCGCGCGUGUCUGUGUGUCUGUACUGCGCGCGGGCGGGCGCGUGUGUGUGUGCGCGCGGGGGCUCCAGUGCAGGAGCCGCUGGGUGUGCGUGCGUGUGUUAUGGGUUUGAUUCCAGAGCAGGUUGCACAUUGGUCCUGGGUGGCUCGCAGGCUCAGGUCGUGCUUGGGCGUCCUCCUCCUAAUCGUUUCCGAAGUAGCAGCAGCAGCAGCAGCAGCACCAGCAGCAGCAGCCGCCGCGGCAGCAUCGCAGCAGCUCAGCGGCACAGCCGGCAGAACUGUGCAGAAGCGAGCACCGUUUGGGGAGUCCGGGGGGCGGCAGUUACAUCCAGCUGUUUAUUGCCUAAGCAUUCUGGGGCUUGCUUCGUCACUUGGCUUUGCUGUGGAGCACUCCUGUAGAGCUUACUGAAUUGCAUAUUGAAGAUCCACCCGUUUGUCAGUGCCGGCAAAAGAUGCCCUGGAGGAUAUCUCUUUUUUAAAGCUCAUUGAGAAAAGACUCAUGAGUUGCGGUGUG